rnacentral:rRNA from 1 species
AGUGAACGCUGGCGGUAGGCCUAACACAUGCAAGUCGAACGGCAGCACAGGAGAGCUUGCUCUCUGGGUGGCGAGUGGCGGACGGGUGAGGAAUACAUCGGAAUCUACUCUGUCGUGGGGGAUAACGUAGGGAAACUUACGUUAAUACGGCAUACGACCUACGGGUGAAAGCAGGGGAUCUUCGGACCUUGCGCGAUUGACUGAGCCGAUGUCGGAUUAGCUAGUUGGCGGGGUAAAGGCCCACCAAGGCGACGAUCCGUAGCUGGUCUGAGAGGAUGAUCAGCCACACUGGAACUGAGACACGGUCCAGACUCCUACGGGAGGCAGCAGUGGGGAAUAUUGGACAAUGGGCGCAAGCCUGAUCCAGCCAUACCGCGUGGGUGAAGAAGGCCUUCGGGUUGUAAAGCCCUUUUGUUGGGAAAGAAAUCCAGCUGGCUAAUACCCGGUUGGGAUGACGGUACCCAAAGAAUAAGCACCGGCUAACUUCGUGCCAGCCGCCGCCGUAA